UACGUAGGGGGCAAGCGUUGUCCGGAGUUACUGGGCGUAAAGCGCACGCAGGCGGUCUGUUAAGUUUGGAGUGACAGUUGGUGGCUUAACUGCCAAAGUGCUUUAACGUAGACAAGACUUGAGGGCUUCAGAGGGACACGGAAUUCCGGGUGGAGUGGUGAAAUGCGUAGAGAUCCGGAGGAACACCAGAGGAAGGCAGUGUCCUGGGGAGUACCUGACGCUCAGGUGCGAAAGCCAGGGGAGCGAACGGG
rnacentral:rRNA from 1 species